rnacentral:rRNA from 1 species
GGUUAAGCGACUAAGCGUACACGGUGGAUGCCCUGGCAGUCAGAGGCGAUGAAGGACGUGCUAAUCUGCGAAAAGCGUCGGUAAGGUGAUAUGAACCGUUAUAACCGGCGAUGUCCGAAUGGGGAAACCCAGUGCAAUUCGUUGCACUAUCGUUAACUGAAUACAUAGGUUAACGAGGCGAACCGGGGGAACUGAAACAUCUAAGUACCCCGAGGAAAAGAAAUCAACCGAGAUUCCCCCAGUAGCGGCGAGCGAACGGGGAGCAGCCCAGAGUCUGAAUCAGCUUGUGUGUUAGUGGAACGGUCUGGAAAGUCCGACGGUACAGGGUGAUAGUCCCGUACACCAAAAUGCACAGGCUGUGAACUCGAAGAGUAGGGCGGGACACGUGGUAUCCUGUCUGAAUAUGGGGGGACCAUCCUCCAAGGCUAAAUACUCCUGACUGACCGAUAGUGAACCAGUACCGUGAGGGAAAGGCGAAAAGAACCCCGGCGAGGGGAGUGAAAAAGAACCUGAAACCGUGUACGUACAAGCAGUGGGAGCACCUUCGGGUGUGACUGCGUACCUUUUGUAUAAUGGGUCAGCGACUUAUAUUCUGUAGCAAGGUUAACCGUAUAGGGGAGCCGCAGGGAAACCGAGUCUUAACUGGGCGUUAAGUUGCAGGGUAUAGACCCGAAACCCGGUGAUCUAGCCAUGGGCAGGUUGAAGGUUGGGUAACACUAACUGGAGGACCGAACCGACUAAUGUUGAAAAAUUAGCGGAUGACUUGUGGCUGGGGGUGAAAGGCCAAUCAAACCGGGAGAUAGCUGGUUCUCCCCGAAAGCUAUUUAGGUAGCGCCUCGUGAAUUCAUCUUCGGGGGUAGAGCACUGUUUCGGCUAGGGGGUCAUCCCGACUUACCAACCCGAUGCAAACUACGAAUACCGAAGAAUGUUAUCACGGGAGACACACGGCGGGUGCUAACGUCCGUCGUGAAGAGGGAAACAACCCAGACCGCCAGCUAAGGUCCCAAAGUCAUGGUUAAGUGGGAAACGAUGUGGGAAGGCACAGACAGCCAGGAUGUUGGCUUAGAAGCAGCCAUCAUUUAAAGAAAGCGUAAUAGCUCACUGGUCGAGUCGGCCUGCGCGGAAGAUGUAACGGGGCUAAACCAUGCACCGAAGCUGCGGCAGCGACACUAUGUGUUGUUGGGUAGGGGAGCGUUCUGUAAGCCUGCGAAGGUGUGCUGUGAGGCAUGCUGGAGGUAUCAGAAGUGCGAAUGCUGACAUAAGUAACGAUAAAGCGGGUGAAAAGCCCGCUCGCCGGAAGACCAAGGGUUCCUGUCCAACGUUAAUCGGGGCAGGGUGAGUCGACCCCUAAGGCGAGGCCGAAAGGCGUAGUCGAUGGGAAACAGGUUAAUAUUCCUGUACUUGGUGUUACUGCGAAGGGGGGACGGAGAAGGCUAUGUUAGCCGGGCGACGGUUGUCCCGGUUUAAGCAUGUAGGCUGAUUGUCCAGGCAAAUCCGGAUAAUCAAGGCUGAGGUGUGAUGACGAGGCACUACGGUGCUGAAGUAACAAAUGCCCUGCUUCCAGGAAAAGCCUCUAAGCAUCAGGUAACAUUAAAUCGUACCCCAAACCGACACAGGUGGUCAGGUAGAGAAUACCAAGGCGCUUGAGAGAACUCGGGUGAAGGAACUAGGCAAAAUGGUGCCGUAACUUCGGGAGAAGGCACGCUGGUGUGUAGGUGAAGUCCCUGCGGAUGGAGCUGAGACCAGUCGAAGAUACCAGCUGGCUGCAACUGUUUAUUAAAAACACAGCACUGUGCAAACACGAAAGUGGACGUAUACGGUGUGACGCCUGCCCGGUGCCGGAAGGUUAAUUGAUGGGGUUAUCCGUAAGGAGAAGCUCUUGAUCGAAGCCCCGGUAAACGGCGGCCGUAACUAUAACGGUCCUAAGGUAGCGAAAUUCCUUGUCGGGUAAGUUCCGACCUGCACGAAUGGCGUAAUGAUGGCCAGGCUGUCUCCACCCGAGACUCAGUGAAAUUGAACUCGCUGUGAAGAUGCAGUGUACCCGCGGCAAGACGGAAAGACCCCGUGAACCUUUACUAUAGCUUGACACUGAACAUUGAGCCUUGAUGUGUAGGAUAGGUGGGAGGCUUUGAAGCGUGGACGCCAGUCUGCGUGGAGCCAACCUUGAAAUACCACCCUUUAAUGUUUGAUGUUCUAACGUUGGCCCCUUACCGGGGUUGCGGACAGUGUCUGGUGGGUAGUUUGACUGGGGCGGUCUCCUCCCAAAGCGUAACGGAGGAGCACGAAGGUUAGCUAAUCCUGGUCGGACAUCAGGAGGUUAGUGCAAUGGCAUAAGCUAGCUUGACUGCGAGCGUGACGGCGCGAGCAGGUGCGAAAGCAGGUCAUAGUGAUCCGGUGGUUCUGAAUGGAAGGGCCAUCGCUCAACGGAUAAAAGGUACUCCGGGGAUAACAGGCUGAUACCGCCCAAGAGUUCAUAUCGACGGCGGUGUUUGGCACCUCGAUGUCGGCUCAUCACAUCCUGGGGCUGAAGUAGGUCCCAAGGGUAUGGCUGUUCGCCAUUUAAAGUGGUACGCGAGCUGGGUUUAGAACGUCGUGAGACAGUUCGGUCCCUAUCUGCCGUGGGCGCUGGAGAAUUGAGGGGGGCUGCUCCUAGUACGAGAGGACCGGAGUGGACGCAUCACUGGUGUUCGGGUUGUCAUGCCAAUGGCACUGCCCGGUAGCUAAAUGCGGAAGAGAUAAGUGCUGAAAGCAUCUAAGCACGAAACUUGCCCCGAGAUGAGUUCUCCCUGAGACUUUAAGUCUCCUGAAGGAACGUUGAAGACGAUGACGUUGAUAGGCCGGGUGUGUAAGCGCAGCGAUGCGUUGAGCUAACCGGUACUAAUGAACCGUGAGGCUUAACCUU